rfam:Danio rerio chromosome 12, GRCz11 reference primary assembly.
GGCUCUGUGGCGCAAUGGAUAGCGCAUUGGACUUCUAGGCUGUUAGCUGAGCCAUUCAAAGGUUGUGGGUUCGAGUCCCACCAGAGUCG